rnacentral:rRNA from 1 species
UACAGAGGGUGCGAGCGUUGUUCGGAAUUAUUGGGCGUAAAGGGCGCGUAGGCGGUGCCACAAGUCACCUGUGAAAUCCCCGGGCUUAACUCGGGCCUGCAGGCGAAACUGUGGUGCUGGAGUAUGGGAGAGGUGCGUGGAAUUCCGGUGUAAGCGGUGAAAUGCGUAGAUAUCGGGAGGAACACCUGUAGGCGAAAGCGGCGCACUGGACCAUAACUGACGCUGAGGCGCGAAAGCUAGGGGAGCAAACAGGG